AAAUUGCGUUAGCGAUUGAAGUGAAAAUCCUUUUGUUUUACAAAAGAUUGUAACGGAAAGCGCGACCUGAA
rnacentral:sRNA from 1 species